GAAGAUCAUCAUUUGAAAAUACGAAACUUGAUUGCUGAGAAAACAUUGAAAAGUAUGUUGGAGGGAAGAAUAAACUUCUUCAAUAUCUCGAAAAAAAUAUAGAAAAUGACGGUGUAUGGGGAACUGAUGUCGAAAUAUUGCUGCUGCUUUUUUACUAAAGACAUCAAUUUAUGUUUAUUCUACAGUGACAAAUAAGUGGCAAAUAUUUAACAAAUAUAUGGACUUAAAGAAAAAAGUCAUGACGAAUGAAAAGUGCAUUUAUUUAAGAAACAUCAACAAUGU